rnacentral:lncRNA from 10 species
GAAAAUACAAAAGCACUACUGUUUAACAGGAAAGUUACUAUCCAGAAAUUAACCCACAAAGGUGGGAAGAGUAUUUACCCGCUAAUCUCUUUAUUCCCUCGCCUGACAAAAUAUCUGCAUUCCUGGGCGGCCUCAAGAAAUGAACUACAGACAUCUAUUCCCUUUGUGAUACCUCCUUGGAAUCAAAGUGUGGAGUGUAACAAUGUGCCUCCACACACUCACACUAGUUGAUGCUUCAUCUUGGUGAAAUCAAGUUUUUGGAAUUACCUUUCCUAAGAUCAUUCUAUUCACAGAGAAGGAGCUUAAUGAAACUAUGGUGGAUGUAUUCUAGACAGAAGAAGGAUUAAACCAAGAUAAAAACAAUGUGAAUGAGGAAAGUGGGAGUAACAGGGAUUCCAAGAGAAAGGACAACCAAAAGGCCAAAACAGAAUACUGAGAGUUGCAGUCCAUCCAGUUCUACUCAUCACUUCCUUCACCCAUUGUCUAAAGUUCUAAGGAGAACUGGUAAUUGAUGUGGGGCCAAACAGCACAGUACAGCAGAAAGGAUCUAAAUUUGGGAAUUAUACUGAGAUUUUCCAUUUGUCAAAAAUGAGGAGUACUAAUCAGUAGUGCUAUGGAAACAAGACACUAACAGUUAUAGUCCGGAAGAAGAGAUGAUAACAUCUGUCCCUAAAAAGAGAAAUAUGUCUUAACCUUAAAGAAUCAAGGACUCCAGGGAUCUUUAAGUUCUGGUAGUGAGGAGAGUCAAAAAGGUAUAUCUCACCAAAGAGCCAGUGAAAAGAUGCUGUGAGAAUGGGUAGCCAUCGAAAGCAAUUCUGUUCAUCAGACAAGAGUUCUUGCUAUUUACACCACAUCUGCAGUGACUUCCUCCACUGAAGUAUUGAACCUUUAAAGUCAUCCAUGAAGGUUGAAAUCAACUUCUUCCAAACUCCUCAUAGGAUUGAUAUUUUGACCUCCUCCCAUAAACGACAAAUUUUCUGAAUGUCAUCUAAAAUGGCAAUUUUUUUCCAGAAGGUUUUCAACUUUGCCCAGAUCCAUUAGAGGAAUCACUGUAGCAGUUAUAUCCUUAAUAAAUGUAUUUGUAAAAUAAUAAUACUUGAAAGUCAAAAUUACUCCUUAACUGUGGGCUACAGGAUAGAUGUUGUGUUAGCAGUCAUGAAAAAAACAUUAAUCUCCUUGAACAUCUUCAUCAGAGCUCUUGGGUAACCAGGUGCAUUGUCAGUGACCAGGAAUAUUUUGAAAGGAAUUUCAAAAGGUCUCAACAGUAAGGCUUAAAAUAUUCAAUAAACCAUACUGUAAACAGAUGUGUUGUCAUCUAGGCUUUGUUAUUUCAUUUCUAGAACAAAUGCAGAGUAUAUUUAGCAUAAUUCUUAAGGACCCCAGUAUUUUCAGAAGGGCUAAUGUGUAUCGUCUUCAUCUUAAAGCCACCAACUGUAUUAGCUCCUAAAAAGAGAGUCAGCCUGUUCUUUGAAGCUUUGAAGCUAGGCAUUGACUUCUUCUCUCUAGCUACAAAAGUUCUAGAGGGCAUCUUCUUCCAAUAGAAGGCAUUUUGGUCUACAUUAGAAAUCUGUUGUUUAGUGUAGCCAUGUUCAUCAAUUAUCUUAGGCAGGAGAACUUCAGCUGGAGAACUUGCUGUAGCUUCUUGCACUUGCUUCACUUGCACUUUUAGGUUGGAGACGGUUUUAUAAAGAUAAUUUAUUUUCUUAAAUCCCAUGAAUCAACACCUACUAGCUUUAAACUUUUCUCUUCAGCUUCCUCACCACUCUCAGACUUCAUAGAAUUGAAGAGGUUAAGGCCUUGUUCUGGAUUAAGCUUUGGCUUAAGGAAAUGUUGUGGCUGAUUUGAUCAUUUUUAUUCAGACCACUCAAAAUUUCUCCAUUAAGCCAUAGGCUGUUUUGCUUUCUUAUAAUUUGUGUGUUCACUGGAGUCACACUUUUAUUUUUUAGAGACAAGUUCUUGCUCUAUUGCCCAGGCUGCAGUGCAGUGACACAAUCAUAGCUCACUGCAACCUUGAACUCCUGGGCUCAAGUGAUCCUCCUGCCUCAGCCUCCCAGGUAGCUGGGACUAUAGACAUGCACCACCAUACUUGGCUUAUUUUUUUUAAAUAAGUCUUCACUAUGUUGCCCAGGCUGGUCUUGAACUCCUGGUCUCAAGGAAUUUCCCCACCUUAGCCUCCCAAAACUCUAGGAUUACAGGCAUAAGCCACCACACCUGUCCUGGAGUAGCACUUUUAAUUUCCAUCAAGAACUUUUCCCUUGCAUCCACAACUUGGCUACUUGUUGCAAGAGGCCUAGCUUUCAGCCUAUCCUGACUUUCAACAUGCCUUCCUCACUAAGCUUAGUCAUUUCUAGCUUUUGAUUUAAAGUGAGAGCCAUGUGGCUCUUCCUUUCACUUGAACACUUCGAGUCCAUUGUAGAGCUAUUAAUUGCCCUAAUUUUUUUAUUGUUGUUUUAAUAUUUGCUACUACCACCAAGAUCUGCGCCUGCAGUGGCUCCACCCAGGCCCAUGUUCUAUUAAGGGACAUUGCAAUGGCCCUUCUACUCAUCUUGGCAUAGUGUCUUUAGGCUUGGGAGAUCUGAGCACUGCUCUGUCCUUCCUGCUCUAGUCCCUCUACUAGCAAUGGCUGCAUAUUGGCUCAACUCCUCAGCACCAUCCAUUUUCAGGGACAGUUGAGUAGUCAGUUGAGUUGUUAUACACUCCUUAGUGGAUUCUGACUUCCAUGGUCACUGUACUGUUGUAUAAUCAACUAUCCUAAUUUCAACAUUGUUGUGUCUCAGGGAAUAGGGAGGCCUGAAGUUAAGGAGAGACAUGGAGCAAUGAUCAAUCAGUUGAGCAAUCAAAACACACACAACAAUUAUCAAUGAAGUUUACUGUCUUAUAUGGGCAUGUUUUCUGGUGCCACAAAACAAUUACAAUAGUAACAUCAAAGGUCACUGAUCACAAAUCACCGUAACAGAUAUAAUAAUAGUGGAAGUUUGAAAUAUUGCAAGAAUUACCAAAAUGUGUCACAAAGACCUGAUGGACUUGCUAGAGGCAAGGCUGCCAAAAACUUUCAAUUUGUUAAAUAUGCAAAAUCUGCAUGGUAAAAUAAAGCAUAGCACAAUAAAAAGAAAUAUGCAUGUAUACACUAUUUAUAAUGUAUAUCCCUACAUAUAAUAUAUAUCAAUAUAUAAUAAAUGUACGUAUUGUUACAUAUUUGCAAAUAUAUAUGGUGAAAUAUAUCCAUGAGUUGCCAAAUCUGUUUUCACAACAUUAUGAACCUUCAAAAACAUGCCCAGCAAGGAGUCAUGAUGGCUGUGCAUACCCACGAACAGGGUUGAUUAGAAACAACUGUUUCAUUUACACAACACUGGGUCAUAUGACAAAUAAAUAACAGCAACCUGCCUAUUUUUAAAAUUUUGACAUCUUGCUUCUCAUGAAUUUUUUUAAUUUUUGAUUUUUUAAAUUCAUUGCCUUAACUAUUAUUUAGCCUGAUUACUGAGUUUUUGGCACCACUUUUAAAAAAAUAACUCAUUUAUUUUGAAAUGAUUUUCAUUGUAUAUAUUUAUGGGGUACAACAUGACUUUUUCAUAUAUGUAUACAUAAUGGAACAAUUAAUCAAAGUAAAUAACAUAUCUUCACCUCAUAAACAUCUUUUCUGUGGUUAGAACAUUUAAAAUCUACUUUCUUAGCACUUUUCAAGUAUGUAGCACAUUAUUAUUAACUAUAGUCACUCUGCUGUAUAACAAAAUAAAUGUCCAGAACUUAAUCAUCUUGUUUAACUGAAUCUUUCUAUAUUUUGACAAACAUCUGUCCUUGUUCCCAGCCUAUGAAAAGAAUACCCUACUCUUUUGAGUUCAACUUUUUCAGAUUCUACAUAAAAGUGAGAUCAUACAGUAUUUUUUUCUGUGCCUAGCUUAUUUUACUUAGCAUAAUAUCCUGCAGAUACAUCCAUAGUAUCUCAAAUAGCAAGAUACCCUUUUUUCUAAGGCUGAAUCUUAUUCCAUUGUGUGUAUCCGUCCCAUUUUCUUUAUCCAUUCAUCCAUCAAGAGAUAUUAUUUUAUUGUCAUAUCUUGGCUAUGAAUAAUAGUUCGCUAUUAAGAAUAAUGCUGCAAUGAACAUGAGGCUGUAGAUACCUCUGUGACAUAACUGAUUUCAUUUCCUUUGGAUAUACACACAGAAGUGGAAUUGCUGGAUUAUGUGGUAGUUUUAUUUUUAAUUUUUGAGAAACCUCCAUACUACUUUUCAUAAUGGCUAUACUAAUUUACAUUCCCACAAACAGUGUGCAAGGGUUCCCUUUUCUCUACAUAUUUGCCAAUAUUUGUCUUUUGUAUUUUAAUAAAUGCUAUUCUCACAGGUGUGAAGUGAUAGCUCAUUCACACCUGUGAAUUUGCAUUCCCCUGAUGAUUAGUGAUGUGAAAUAUUUUUUUUUUUGUAUACUUAUUGGCCUUUUGAUUCUCUUCUUUUGAAAAAUAUUUAUUAAAGUUCUGUGCCCAUUUUUUAAUCAGUUUGUUUGUUUUCUUGCAUAGAGUUGAGUUCCUUAUAUAUUUUUUAAAUUAACCCUUUAUCAAAUAUAUUGUUGGUAUAGUUUGAAUAUUUGUCCCCACCCAAAUUUCAUGUUGAAAUGUAAUCCCAGUGUUGGAGUUGGACCCUGGUAGCAGGUGUUUGGAUCAUUGGGGAGGAUCCCUCAUGAAUGGCUUGGGCCGUCUCUUUGGUGAUAAGUGAGUUCUGGCUCUGAGUUCACAUAAGAUCUGGUCAUUUACAACUGUACAACAGCUCCUGGCUACUCUUUCUCUCACUUGCCACUGCCGUAUGGUGUUCCUACUCCCCCUUUGCCUUCCACCAUGAUUGUAAGCUUCCUGAAGCCUCCCCAGAGGCUGAGCAGAUACCAGCACCAGGCUUCCUGUAAAGCCUGCAGAACUGUGAGCCAAUUAAAUCCUUUUUCUUUAUAAAUUACCCAGUCUCAGACAUUUCUUUAGAUCAAUGUGAGUGAGCUAAUACAAUGGUUUACAAAUACUUUCUCUUGUUAAACAGGUUGUCUCAUGAAUAGCUUGUUGAAUGUUUCCUUUGGUGUGCAGAAGCUCUUUAGUUUGAUGUAAUCCCAUUGCUUUAUUUUUCCUUUUGCUGUCUGUGCUUUUGUGAUAAUAUUCAAUAAAUCUUUGCUAAUACCAAUAUCAUGGAGCUUUUCCUCUAGUUUUUG